AGCGAACGCUGGCGGCAGGCCUAACACAUGCAAGUCGAACGAACUCUUCGGAGUUAGUGGCGGACGGGUGAGUAACACGUGGGAACGUGCCUUUUGGUUCGGAAUAACUCAGGGAAACUUGUGCUAAUACCGAAUGUGCCCUUCGGGGGAAAGAUUUAUCGCCAUUAGAGCGGCCCGCGUCUGAUUAGCUAGUUGGUGAGGUAACGGCUCACCAAGGCGACGAUCAGUAGCUGGUCUGAGAGGAUGACCAGCCACACUGGGACUGAGACACGGCCCAGACUCCUACGGGAGGCAGCAGUGGGGAAUCUUGCGCAAUGGGCGAAAGCCUGACGCAGCCAUGCCGCGUGAAUGAUGAAGGUCUUAGGAUUGUAAAAUUCUUUCACCGGGGACGAUAAUGACGGUACCCGGAGAAGAAGCCCCUGCUAACUUCGUG
rnacentral:rRNA from 1 species